UUCACUAAAUUUGCGAGCCCAAACGCAGCACCUUCCACUUCCCUCCCAGAGCCGCUUCACGAUCCCCUUUCCUCGCCCGUCGCCGGCACCGCACAUCCGGCCCGACUUCGGCGAGUCUCUGCCCCACCGACCGCCGCCCCGGCACCCCCUCCUCCCACUCGCUCUACUCCACUGCUUGGAAGCACCAAAUCGGAGCCCCCACCUCAAACCAUAGCCCAGGUUCCGGGCUGUCAAGCUUAGAUCUUGGCAUCCAUAGCGGCGGCGCGCGACAGCGGGUGGUGGUGACCGGAUUCACCACGCGGAGCAGAUGCGGUCGGCUACCAAGCCGCGGCCCUCACAGACGCGGAGACGCCGGCGUCCUCGACUGUCGACAAGCGCGUCCGGCCGCCGCGGAUGGCUCCGGCUCCGGCCGGUACUCCUACUCCUCGUUCCCCAUGUCCAGGCCACCACCCUCGCCUCCAAUGGCAGUUGCUGCACCGGCGACUUGCCGUGUGAGACGGAGAGACUGAGGGGGAGGACCUGCCGUCGGGUGGUAACCACUGCCACGCUCUUGCGGGCGCCGACGACCAGCGCCGUGCGAGCAACCCAGCAGCGGCCUAGCUGCAGGACCACCCAAGGCUCAUUUGAAGCCCAUUGUUUCUCAGCUUGUUGUGGAACAGCCUCUUGGACUAGUGCCAGAUGCUGCAUCAGUUGAAGGAGUGGACGAAAUUCUUGCCCUUUUGCUUGGGGGAAAUUCUUAUAGUGUUCAAGGGAUUUACCUCUCUGGUCGCUUGUUCGCUCCUUCCUUACCGCCUGGGGUCUGCGUAUUGGUUACACCUGUUGGAGCCGAGUUGGACUAGUAGAUCAAAGUGGUUUCUCUUUUUGCGCUUGAACAAGCACAAUGUUUGCCUAAGAUGAGUUCUUUUUGCUGUCUUAUACGCUGCUGCUUACUGAAAGAUUGAUUUUGCUGAAGCCGAAUUGUUGCAUUUUGUGUAGUUGGUCAAUCAAUAUCCAUACACGCUCUGCUAAUCAAGUCUGUGUUUGGUGACGGCAAUGUGGUCGUGGCAUGUCCAGGCAAUGCUGGGCUCGGUGCGGUAGCAAGGUUCUGUGCUAUAUAUGGACACACAGUCCAACUGCUGUCCAUGACCUGUGACGGAAUGUGAAAUAAGCUGUGAUGCGUGCAUCCUAGGGUAUAUUUUUAAAUGUAAAUUGCUUGUGUAUCCUUGUUGGAAGUUGAAUUGUGCGUGUUCAAGUGCCCAGCAUAGAUAUGUGUUGUUAUUUUGGAGUAUAUCUGCAUUUGUUUUGCUGACCAUGCUUUUUUCUUGCACGGGGAUGACUGGACGGAAGGGGUGGCCUUUGCUUGGGUCCAGUGGUUCAGCAGGAGGGUAUGGUGCUGGCGGUGAGGAGGAGGUUAACGACCGUCUGCUUUCUUUUGUCUGUGCGACCGACGUUGCAUGGUCUGGCGGUGCUGCUGCCGCAAUGGCCGCGGCCGCUCGUGUGUUAUGAACGGAUGAAGUCUUGUAGUAGUAAUGUUUUGAGUCAGCGGAAAGAAAGAUUGUGUUGUAAUAAUGAUUGUUUCCUUUGCUGCACGUUUGUGGUGUGAGUGUUGAGUUGCAUUGGCCGGCAACCAGUUUACGAGUGUUGGAA